AAUUGACAAUUGCAAAUGGAAAAAGCAAGUGCAAGUGCAAGUGCGCGAAAAGACGAAUCGGGCCAAGACAAGGCUAGCGACCAGCUGGCCGCAAAGUUGUCUUUUGGCUUUAAAUCAAAAAACAAGUGCAGUAUAAAAUGGCAACAGCAACAGCAACAAAAGCAGCGGCAUUUAACGGCUGUCAUUGUUGAUGGUGCAGUGGUUUUCAGCUGCGACGUUCGUGUUUGAUCAAGAUCAAGGCUGCAGUGUGUCGUGUGUGUGUGUGGGUGUGUGGGUGAGCUGGUUGCUGCCGGACAGCCCUUCAUAUUAGUUAAUGCUCAUAUUUAGCCAAGUACCAGUUUAUAACCAUUUGUGUGAGUGUGUGUGCAUAUGUGUGCUAUUACAAAUGCCAAGCACGCACAACCCUGUUGCUGCCAUUUACGGGACGGGGCGGAGCGGGGGCUGCUGGCUCUGUUGGUCAUGGCCAGGCCUGCAGCGCAGUUGCAGCGCUGUCGCAUAAAUUCUAACUGUCGUCACACACUUACACACACGCGCGCGCAUGUCAUCUAUCGCAUGCAUACAGUGGCGGACAAAAGUCAAGGCACUACUAAGAAAACACUCUUGGAGAGAAUAUCAUGAUUUGUACGGACUUUUGGUUAACCAGAGAAGGAAGGUAGCAUUCCAUUCUUUUUCGCUGUGGACAGUUUUAAUGGCAGUCGUACAUAGACUUUUGUCCGCCACUAUCGAUGUGCGAUGUGUAAGCUGCGUUUAACAAAGAUUUGCGUUGCGCUGCUUUGGACGUUAACAGCCUUGGGGCGGCUCCAACGUUUAACAUUUUUUCUUAAUAAUUUGUUUAAUCUUAAUUUAAUUGAUUGUUUGUUUUGCUGAUUUUACGCGUAUUUCGUUUCUGAAAUACCUGGCGUGCCAUUCAUUUAUUAAUCGGUUAAUAGAGACCCGGCGCCCCCAGGUACGCCCUGUCACGCCUUGUGCCGCAAGCAGCUAUAGCAAGUGAUGUACAUUUACAUGAUUUAUUUUAUUCUACAAUUUUACUACAUGUUAUAAGACAGGCUUUCAUGUUUCGAUCUCUUUCUUUCUCUCUCUCUCUCGCUGUUUGACUGAACGGCAAUUGCAGUUGUUUGACAUGGAUGUGUAGAAUCUACAUUUUUACAGCCUUUUGCUUUUACAUACAUAUAUUUCAAAAGCAACCUUACAUCUUGGCCUCUCUUUCCGUCUCAGCUUACUCGUUUCUAUCCCUCUCCAGCUUUCGUUUACAUGUUUGUGCCUCUCCCUCUUCCGCUCUGUAUUGAUGUUGCAAUUGCUUGCCAUAGUUGUAAUUUAUUUUAUUGUGUUAAGGUCAAGGCGAAUUGUAAAAUGCUUUAUAAUUACAUACAGAUGUACAUGCUCACACACACACAUACACAUAAAUACAUACAUGCAAAAACAUGUUUUCAAGUUGAAAAUGAAAUGCGAAUAAGGUUUUAUUUUCAUUUGUUUGUGUUAUUUUUAUAAUUUUUGUGUGCUGCUGCUGCCGCUGCUGCCAUGAGGAAAUGAAUUUCAAUUGAAGUUGUACAAAAAAUACAACAAAUACUGACCUCCAGUUAGCCAGCAAUUAAAACAGCAUUAUAAAAUAUCGUUUCGUACACGCAUAUGGUCAUCUCUCUCACGCCCAAGGGUCAAUGCACGUUUUAUCCUUUACCGUAAUUGAUUUACAUGCUGUUUUUUUUCGCUGAUCUCCCAUAUAACAUUUGCUUUGAUCUCAGGAUCGGUGUAUAUGUAUACCUAUACCUUACUACCAUAUAUGUAUAUUUACAUAUAGUAUGUGUGAGUGUGUGUAUGCGGGUGGCACCUGAGCGAGAAGUACGCCCACCCAACAGCUGUCGUUGCUAUCGGCCAUGGGCGUUCAACUUGUUUUUUAUGGAAAACUACUUAAAAAACAACAGAAAGAGCUACAGAGGGAACAAAAAAGCGAAGCAAAACCAAAACAAAACCGAAAACAACAACAAAAAGAUUUUCAGCCACAAAAAGUUACAAAAACCAGAGAAAAAACCAAUAAGGAGAGACGGAAAGAUACUGUGGCUGCAAAAUCGAAUUCCAAACGCAUUCUGAGCUUAUCGCAUAUGGAAUUCCUGUCAUGCACGACGACGACAACGACAACGACGACGACGACGACGAUGACGACAGUCCCCUCUUCAGUCUUCUGCUUGAAGCUGAUUCUUCUUCAGGUCCCGCCAUAACCCCCAUCUUGGGGUUCUGUGUGUCUAAUUGCAAAUGCCAAACACGUUGACAGGGGCGGCAACGGCGAACGGCAACGAACGUUGUCAAGCAGCUCAGCCCAUGUACAUGGGGGAUAUAUUGUAUGUAAAUAAUGUACACUCGUACAUACAUAGGUACUCGUACAGCAACAAAUUGAACAAUACCCACAGACCCAACCCAUGUCGGAGCCCGAAAGCGUUUAAGGCUGCGUUUUAAGUUAGGGCCUCAGAAACACACAAUCUUUGUUGCACGAAUAGACUAUUAUUAUGAGAUGAUCAAGCGUUUAACCUCAAUAGUUUUAAGAACGCACUGCAGAGACAUGCAACAGGUGCUCAUUCUUAUUUGUUUAUUGUUUAUUUGGGAAAUUGUGGUUCAAAAUUAAGGUUUUUAAGUGAAAAAAUGAAACAUCUCAUCCAUUUUCAGUGUCAUCUAUCUUCAGAAAAUCCCGCAAUGGAAUCGGAUCACCUAUUUAGGCCCUCACCCAAUUGGCCAGCGAAUGCAACCACCGCCCACACAACCGCUGAACCGCUGAACCAUCAUUCAUCUAUCUAUAAAACCCAUCGAAAUGUAUGUAUGCUUUCGCAAAAAGAAAAAAAAAAUGAUUGCAAAUGUCAAACAAAAUUUAAUAGAGCAUGAAACGGCAUGAAAUCCAUUGAAAAAAAAGAGAAGGAGAGGGAGAGAUGAGCGAAAUGAGAUGGAAAUAUAUGCGAGUGCAAAGUGUCAUCGAUUAGCUGACAGACAGCCAAUCAAUUCCAUUCCAUUUCGAUUCCAUUCGAUUCGAUGGUGACAAGUGCAUUUCUUUCAAAUGUGGCACAGCAAAGCGCUUGCUUUGGAGGAGAGCCCAGCACACAAAGAUACAAUAUGGAGAGAAUGAGAAUAGGAACACCUUGAUCGAUAGCAGAUGCCUGGGACUGGGACUGGAACUGGCACUGGCACUUGGACUGGGUUCGGGAUCGGGACCCUUGUCAAAGAAGCUUCCUGUUUGGGGUCGAUCCUGCCAAAUUGAUGAAUGCAUCCGUUUGAAGAAAGGUAGCCAGGCAGGCAGGAAGGAAGUGGCGAGUCCUCACAGAGCUUCUAACAGGUGCUUUCCCAUCAUUCCCCUGGGUCCUAAUGUGCGAUCCUCCUCCCUUUGUGUCUCUCUCUAUCUCUGACAAUUCCAAAACAAAUUAUGUAGUGUAGUGUAAAAGCUUAAACAGCGAACCCUUUUCCGCUGCCUGGUGCUUGUAGCAUUUAGCAAUUCUAAUGCCGAAAGGGAUACCGAACACUGUCCAUGCCCAAACCCUUACCCUUACCCUUACCUUAAGUGUGGUUCCAACCCAUUUGCAACACGAUCCGAUCCUCGAUCCUCUCUUUUUUUUUGCCUCUGUUUCCAGCUCUGAUCAAGAUCUGGCCCUGGAACCUUGCGGGCAGUCUAUAAAUUUAUUGCCUAAGCGCUUCUCCCUCUCUUUUGUCUUUUGUCUGCUGUUUGUUUCUGUUUCUUCACUCUGCUUAAAUGAAUUUGUCUCUAACGCCCAAUUUGGCUUUUGGCUCUUCCUCUUCCGUUGGUUUUCGUUGGGUUUUCGGAUGCGGUGUGGGGCAGCUGCUGUUGAUAGUUCGAUUUCUAAGGGUUUCAAGGUCUUUAUUAGUCCCUUCCGUCUCGGGUUACCAUCUCUCUCUCUCGUGUUGUCUGGCUCUGGGGACGCGACUUAAAAUGCAUUAAGUGCCGUGCAAUUAAGUCUUAUCGAUGCCCGAAAAUCUGCUCAUCUUGAUUGCUAUAUAUAACUAUAAAUACGUAUACUUCCAUACCCCAUACAUGCGUAUAAGUAUAUGAAUUAU